UGGGGAAUAUUGCACAAUGGGCGCAAGCCUGAUGCAGCGACGCCGCGUGAGGGAUGGAGGCCUUCGGGUUGUAAACCUCUUUCGCCAGUGAAGCAGGCCAUCUUCUUUGUGGGGUGGUUGACGGUAGCUGGAUAAGAAGCGCCGGCUAACUACGUGCCAGCAGCCGCGGUAAUACGUAGGGCGCGAGCGUUGUCCGGAAUUAUUGGGCGUAAAGAGCUCGUAGGCGGCUGGUCGCGUCUGUCGUGAAAUCCCCUGGCUUAACUGGGGGCUUGCGGUGGGUACGGGCCGGCUUGAGUGCGGUAGGGGAGACUGGAAUUCCUGGUGUAGCGGUGGAAUGCGCAGAUAUCAGGAGGAACACCGGUGGCGAAGGCGGGUCUCUGGGCCGUUACUGACGCUGAGGAGCGAAAGCGUGGGAGCGAACAGG
rnacentral:rRNA from 1 species